AGUGGCGGACGGGUGAGUAAUGUCUGGGAAACUGCCUGAUGGAGGGGGAUAACUACUGGAAACGGUAGCUAAUACCGCAUAACGUCGCAAGACCAAAGAGGGGGACCUUCGGGCCUCUUGCCAUCGGAUGUGCCCAGAUGGGAUUAGCUUGUUGGUGGGGUAACGGCUCACCAAGGCGACGAUCCCUAGCUGGUCUGAGAGGAUGACCAGCCACACUGGAACUGAGACACGGUCCAGACUCCUACGGGAGGCAGCAUG
rnacentral:rRNA from 1 species